UAGGUUUAUAUAAGGUAAGAGUCAAUAUGAGCCACUGAAUGGCAGGUCAUCUAUCUUUUGAGUAGGAAAUGGACCCCACUUCAGGCCCAAGGAGGAAGAGGUGACAUAUUAAGACUCAUUUUUUCUUUCUAAAUAGUGUCUGACAUUUAUUGAAAGCAAGGAAAAGACUUUUGUACAGGUAGUGUAGAAGAGCUGGAAAGAUCACAGAGGUUAGUGUGUUGAAACAAAGGCACACACCUCAGAGAGAGCUGCAAGUUCAGAAGAGAACAGCACACUGGGGAAACUAACUGGCCCUCAGGAGAAAAGGAAUGACUGAAUCUGGCUGCCAGGAACACAAAGAGGUCUCAGAGAGGGGAGGGAAUGGGACCUGCUGAAGUGAGGCUGGAGUGGCCCUGCAGAGGGACGACCAGCCCUCUGAAUCUGUGUCCACGGGCUGUGGUCAGCUCAGGCACCUCAGAGCUGAGUCCAGAUGGCAAGGGCAGCUGUGCGUGGGUGGGUGCGGUGGAGGGUGAUGGCAGGGCAGCAUAGGGUGUGGGCAGAGGGGUGCAGUCAGGGCCAGGCCGGGUGUGGGUGGCCUGUCCAGCUCUGUGUAACAGGCCCCGCCUGAGGCUGGAGCAGAGGACAGCGUCCAGAGGGCGUGGGAGGGGCCGGUUGGCAGCAGAGGGCUGCUGGGCGCUCCAGGAUCCAGAGCCAGGUCCAGGGUUAGUGGUGGCCUCAGCUGGAGCUGGAGCGCUAUUCCUGGAACAAAGGCAGCACCACGGGGGAGCGGGAGGGGACGCGAGCGCGAGAGCACAGGGAGAGGGGCCACUGGAGGGGCCAGGCGGGCAGGGCGGUGGGGCGUAGGGGGUAGGGCGCCCCCACAGACUGNNNNNNNNNNNNNNNNNNNNNNNNNNNGCCUAGAAGUCCUCGUCCUCCUCCCAUCCGAAGACCCGCUUCAUCUCGGCCAGGAAGCCCCGGUAGUCGCUGAGGAGGGGGCUGUCCUUUUCGAUGUAGGGCAUCACCCACUGCAGAGCCGGGCCCGUGAGGCGGGUGAUGAGGAACGUCACCUUCAGGGCGUCGCUGGAGAACGUCUUGUCGUCCACGAACAUGUAGGAGCCGGUCUGCACGAUGAACUCUGGGAGCUUGUCGGUGUCCCCGUCAAACGUCUCGGGAAAAGGAAUCGGGUUUCUCCAGCGGCGCCGGUUGGGCCGAGGCCAAGCCAUGAAUACCUUCAUCAGCUGCACGCGACCGUCCAUAGUGUCUGGCUAGUUGGGUCCCCUGCGCUUCCUGGCUUCGCUGGGCUGCGUAGAGGUCAGCACCAAGCUGUCCCCGGAAUGAUUCCAAACCUCAAGAAGUAGGAAUAGCUGCACCCAGAGAAGCCAGUGUGUACAGAGCAUGGGUAUGGGGAACCACUGCUGACUGAUUCAAAGCCCGGCGGCACCUGAGGACCCUGUAAGGACAUGACCCUGUAAGGACACGACCCUGCUGUCUAGCACAUGCACACAACAGGACAGUUAUGUACGCAUGACUUAGCAUAGACUACUGCCCAUGUGUUAUGUGGUUAUAUAAGAACAUGAUGAUGUAAAGCUGUGUAGUACUCUAUGUAAGGGUAAAAGAAUAAAGAUAUCCUGCUCUUGUGGCUUUUGUUGCUGAUGUCAGCUCCGUGUGCUUUCUGUACCCUGGGGAACUCACCUAUGAAAGUACCCCUUGGGCUGCCCUCUGGCCCUGACAAUGGGCAAACAAGAAAAUGAUUUUUCUGGAACCUGAAGAUUUAAUAUUUGCCUUGUUGGGUUUGAGAUUUCACUGGGACCUGUUAUCUCUUUUUCCUUCCCUACUUUUUGCUUUUGGAAAGGAAAUGUCUGUACCUGCCCCAUCAUUGUAUACUGGAAACACAUAACUUGUUUGAUUUCACAUGCUCACAGGUAGAAGCCAAUUUGACUCGGAAUGAAUCACACCUAUGAGUCUCUGUCAUAUAUUAUUUUGAUGAGUCUCUGAACUUUAGACUUUUGAGUUGAUCCCGGAAGAAGUUAAAACUUGGGUUACUAUUGGGAUGGGCUAUAUUAAUUUUUAAUAUGAGAAGUAUAUGUUUUUU
rnacentral:lncRNA from 1 species